UACGUAGGUGGCAAGCGUUGUCCGGAUUUACUGGGCGUAAAGAGCGCGCAGGCGGUUGUGCAAGUCGCGUGUGAAAGCCCCCGGCUCAACUGGGGAGGGUCACGCGAUACUGUUCGACUUGAAGGCAGGAGAGGGAAGUGGAAUUCCCGGUGUAGUGGUGAAAUGCGUAGAGAUCGGCAGGAACACCCAGGGGGAAACCAGCCGGCUGGGGACGAGCUGACGCUCAGGGGCGAAAGCGUGGGGAGCGAACCGG
rnacentral:rRNA from 1 species